rnacentral:rRNA from 1 species
CCUACGGGAGGCAGCAGUAGGGAAUAUUGCUCAAUGGGGGAAACCCUGAACCAGCAACGCCGCGUGGAGGAUGAAGGUUUUCGGAUUGUAAACUCCUUUUGUUAGAGAAGAUAAUGACGGUAUCUAACGAAUAAGCACCGGCCAACACCGUGCCCGCAGCCGCGGUACUACGGAGGGUGCAAGCGUUACUCGGAAUAACUGGGCGUAACGAGCGCGUAGGCGGGAUAGCAAGUCACAUGUGAAAUCCUAUGGCUUAACGAGAGAAGUGCAUUUGAAACUGUUAUUCUAGAGUAUGGGAGAGGUAGGUGGAAUGCUUGGUGUAGGGGUAAAAUGCGUAGAGAUCAAGAAGAAUACUCAUUGCGAAGGCAACCUGCUAGAACAUAACUGACGCUGAUGCGCGAAAGCGUGGGGAGCAAACAGGAUUAGAUACCCUGGUAGUC